AUUGAACGCUGGCGGCAGGCCUAACACAUGCAAGUCGAGCGGUAGCACAGAGAGCUUGCUCUCGGGUGACGAGCGGCGGACGGGUGAGUAAUGUCUGGGAAACUGCCUGAUGGAGGGGGAUAACUACUGGAAACGGUAGCUAAUACCGCAUAACGUCGCAAGACCAAAGUGGGGGACCUUCGGGCCUCAUGCCAUCAGAUGUGCCCAGAUGGGAUUAGCUAGUAGGUGGGGUAACGGCUCACCUAGGCGACGAUCCCUAGCUGGUCUGAGAGGAUGACCAGCCACACUGGAACUGAGACACGGUCCAGACUCCUACGGGAGGCAGCAGUGGGGAAUAUUGCACAAUGGGCGCAAGCCUGAUGCAGCCAUGCCGCGUGUGUGAAGAAGGCCUUCGGGUUGUAAAGCACUUUCAGCGGGGAGGAAGGCGGUGAGGUUAAUAACCUCAUCGAUUGACGUUACCCGCAGAAGAAGCACCGGCUAACUCCGUGCCAGCAGCCGCGGUAAUACGGAGGGUGCAAGCGUUAAUCGGAAUUACUGGGCGUAAAGCGCACGCAGGCGGUCUGUCAAGUCGGAUGUGAAAUCCCCGGGCUCAACCUGGGAACUGCAUUCGAAACUGGCAGGCUAGAGUCUUGUAGAGGGGGGUAGAAUUCCAGGUGUAGCGGUGAAAUGCGUAGAGAUCUGGAGGAAUACCGGUGGCGAAGGCGGCCCCCUGGACAAAGACUGACGCUCAGGUGCGAAAGCGUGGGGAGCAAACAGGAUUAGAUACCCUGGUAGUCCACGCCGUAAACGAUGUCGAUUUGGAGGUUGUGCCCUUGAGGCGUGGCUUCCGGAGCUAACGCGUUAAAUCGACCGCCUGGGGAGUACGGCCGCAAGGUUAAAACUCAAAUGAAUUGACGGGGGCCCGCACAAGCGGUGGAGCAUGUGGUUUAAUUCGAUGCAACGCGAAGAACCUUACCUGGUCUUGACAUCCACAGAACUUUCCAGAGAUGGAUUGGUGCCUUCGGGAACUGUGAGACAGGUGCUGCAUGGCUGUCGUCAGCUCGUGUUGUGAAAUGUUGGGUUAAGUCCCGCAACGAGCGCAACCCUUAUCCUUUGUUGCCAGCGGUUAGGCCGGGAACUCAAAGGAGACUGCCAGUGAUAAGCUGGAGGAAGGUGGGGAUGACGUCAAGUCAUCAUGGCCCUUACGACCAGGGCUACACACGUGCUACAAUGGCAUAUACAAAGAGAAGCGACCUCGCGAGAGCAAGCGGACCUCAUAAAGUAUGUCGUAGUCCGGAUUGGAGUCUGCAACUCGACUCCAUGAAGUCGGAAUCGCUAGUAAUCGUAGAUCAGCAUGCUACGGUGAAUACGUUCCCGGGUCU
rnacentral:rRNA from 1 species